ensembl:snRNA U6 U6 spliceosomal RNA
AGACAUAGUGAGACUUUGUCUCAAAAAAAAAAUUGGAAUGAUAAAGAGAAGAUUAGCAUGGACCCUGUGCAAGGAUGACAUGCAAUUUCAUGAAUCAUUCCAUGUUUUU